AGUUUAUUGUGUUUAUUUCCUGUUUUAGGUCGAUCCAGUCUGAGAGUCACAGUCCGGGCUCCUCCACAAAUCAGGGAGUCAACCAGGAUGAAACUCAUGAAUACAACUCUCCUUAUUCUGGUACUGCUGACAUCUAUGAAUCAGUCACACAAGUGACAAACAGAAAUGGUACAGUAUAUGUGCUGGAAAGCACAGAGCAGUUAGAGAUAAAACCUAUUUUGAUUUAAUGAAACUUAUUCCAUGCGACAUGUUUUUACAGUCUUGUAAAUAAAAUUAUGAACAUUUCAGGAGCAGAUGAAUAUGAGAAUGUCCCUUCCUCUCAGAGUGAUCAGAAAGUUUUUAAGUAUUAAUUUCUUUUUGAUUUCAUUUGAUCAUUUUAACAGGGGAGUAUGAUGAACCAGAGGGGAGUGCUUUUUACAUCAAUGUCCAGAUGUGAGCUUCAGAGUGUGUCUGCACCUUCUAAACAAAGCCUGUAAGGAUACAGGAAGUCACAGGUGGGACAGGCACGAGGGGCAGCCAGUGACCCAACACACAUCCUUAAAGCUGAUAUCCACCAGCUUCUCAUGUAUGCACCCAGCAUUUCCUCAGUCACCUGAGCUCAGAGCUGGAUUCUUCAUUCCCUCCAACAUAAAUAUAAACCCCUUUUUCGUCACCACAGAACAUCUACAGCUGGGACUCUGUGAAGUAGUGAUACGUAAAAAAU
rnacentral:lncRNA from 1 species